rnacentral:lncRNA from 1 species
UGUGUUGUUUGUUUGCUUUUCUGUCCUUGGUUCUGCUGUGCGCUUGUCCCCAGUGGAACCCUCUUGAGCUGGUUUGGAACUCCUCUGUGGCCAGGUGCUCCAUGGGUGACUCUCCAGCAGACUUGGAGCAUGGAUGCUUCCGAGGGGAUGGAGCCAUACCUCCCUGGUCGCCGAACCAUGGGCUGCAUCUCUGCGUCAGGACUUGGGACCGAUGUGAGUCAUAGCUAGAGUUCUUUGAGUGGUUCUGCUGGAUCAUUGAAGGGUCUUUGUUUAAGUUGUAGAAAAUGUGAACUGUAAUACAUUAGGCACACCCAAGGCCAACGAUCAGAUGAAUGGGAAGUAAUAUACCAAAAUACAUGUGUUAAAAGCUGAGGAUGGUGGUUGGAGAAGUAGAGUGGAAAGAUGGUACCUAUACAGAU